rnacentral:rRNA from 1 species
AUUGAACGCUGGCGGCAGGCUUUACACAUGCAAGUCGGACGAGUGGCGGACGGGUGAGUAAUGUAUUGGAACCUAGCUUAUAAUGGGGGAUAACGACGCGAAACAUUGGCUAAUACCGCAUAUUAUUGGAGGGGCCAAUGUGGGAUUAGCUAGUUGGUGGGGUAAAGGCCUACCAAGGCGACGAUCAGUAGCGGGUCUGAGAGGAUGAUCGGCCACACUGGGACUGAGAGACGGCCCAGACUCCUACGGGAGGCAGCAGUGGGGAAUAUUGCGCAAUGGGGGCAAGCCUGAUCCAGCCAUGCCGCGUGAAGGAAGAAGGCCUUCGGGUUGUAAAGGACUUUUGUUAGGGAAGCGGUAAAUAAAGAAGAAGCACCGGCUAACUACGUGCCAGCAGCCGCGGUAAUAC